rnacentral:rRNA from 1 species
GAUGAACGCUGGCGGCGUGCCUAAUACAUGCAAGUCGAGCGAACGGACGAGAAGCUUGCUUCUCUGAUGUUAGCGGCGGACGGGUGAGUAACACGCGGAUAACCUACCUAUAAGACUGGGAUAACUUCGGGAAACCGGAGCUAAUACCGGAUAAUAUUUUGAACCGCAUGGUUCAAAAGUGAAAGACGGUCUUGCUGUCACUUAUAGAUGGAUCCGCGCUGCAUUAGCUAGUUGGUAAGGUAACGGCUUACCAAGGCAACGAUGCAUAGCCGACCUGAGAGGGUGAUCGGCCACACUGGAACUGAGACACGGUCCAGACUCCUACGGGAGGCAGCAGUAGGGAAUCUUCCGCAAUGGGCGAAAGCCUGACGGAGCAACGCCGCGUGAGUGAUGAAGGUCUUCGGAUCGUAAAACUCUGUUAUUAGGGAAGAACAUAUGUGUAAGUAACUGUGCACAUCUUGACGGUACCUAAUCAGAAAGCCACGGCUAACUACGUGCCAGCAGCCGCGGUAAUACGUAGGUGGCAAGCGUUAUCCGGAAUUAUUGGGCGUAAAGCGCGCGUAGGCGGUUUUUUAAGUCUGAUGUGAAAGCCCACGGCUCAACCGUGGAGGGUCAUUGGAAACUGGAAAACUUGAGUGCAGGAGAGGAAAGUGGAACUCCAUGUGUAGCGGUGAAAUGCGCAGAGAUAUGGAGGAACACCAGUGGCGAAGGCGACUUUCUGGUCUGUAACUGACGCUGAUGUGCGAAAGCGUGGGGAUCAAACAGGAUUAGAUACCCUGGUAGUCCACGCCGUAAACGAUGAGUGCUAAGUGUUAGGGGGUUUCCGCCCCUUAGUGCUGCAGCUAACGCAUUAAGCACUCCGCCUGGGGAGUACGACCGCAAGGUUGAAACUCAAAGGAAUUGACGGGGACCCGCACAAGCGGUGGAGCAUGUGGUUUAAUUCGAAGCAACGCGAAGAACCUUACCAAAUCUUGACAUCCUUUGACAACUCUAGAGAUAGAGCCUUCCCCUUCGGGGGACAAAGUGACAGGUGGUGCAUGGUUGUCGUCAGCUCGUGUCGUGAGAUGUUGGGUUAAGUCCCGCAACGAGCGCAACCCUUAAGCUUAGUUGCCAUCAUUAAGUUGGGCACUCUAAGUUGACUGCCGGUGACAAACCGGAGGAAGGUGGGGAUGACGUCAAAUCAUCAUGCCCCUUAUGAUUUGAGCUACACACGUGCUACAAUGGACAAUACAAAGGGCAGCGAAACCGCGAGGUCAAGCAAAUCCCAUAAAGUUGUUCUCAGUUCGGAUUGUAGUCUGCAACUCGACUACAUGAAGCUGGAAUCGCUAGUAAUCGUAGAUCAGCAUGCUACGGUGAAUACGUUCCCGGGUCU